rnacentral:rRNA from 1 species
AUUGAACGCUGGCGGCAUGCUUUACACAUGCAAGUCGAACGGCAGCACGGACUUCGGUCUGGUGGCGAGGGGCGAACGGGUGAGUAAUACAUCGGAACGUACCCAGUAAUGGGGGAUAACUAUCCUAAAGGAUAGCUAAUACCGAGUACGCCCUACAGGGGAAUGAGGGGGAUCGCAAGACCUCUUGUUAUUGGAGCGGCCGAUGGAGGAUUAUCUAGUUGGUGAGGUAAAGGCUCAGGAAGGAGACGAUCAGUAGCGGGUCUUAGAGGACGAUCCGCCACACUGGAACUGAGACACGGUCCAGACUCCUACGGGAGGCAGCAGUGGGGAAUCUUGGACAAUGGGCGCAAGCCUGAUCCAGCAAUGCCGCGUGCGUGAAGAAGGCCUUCGGGUUGUAAAGCGCUUUUGUCAGGGAGCAAAUCCUUGUGGCUAAUACCCACCGGGGAUGAGAGUACCUGAAGAAGAAGGACCGGCUAACUACGUGCCAGCCGCCGCAGUAACAC